UUUCAUUUAAAUCUACAAGUAAUUAAUAAUAACUAAUCAAGUUUUAUAAACAAAAUGUAUAUUUUUUUACCUGGUAAAAGAUAAUAAGAAUAAUUGUCAAUGUCAAUUUCAGGCUUUGACAGCUCAAAGAGUCAUCAGUUUUCUGAUCAUAUUUUCCAUCACUCCGGAAGGAAGGUUGUUGGACUUUUUCUGUUAUUUAAUUUUGUCAAAAUAAAUAAGAGGUACCUCUUGGUUCUUAGUUACAACUUAACUUAUCGAAAGGGAGUUAAAGAUAGGAACAGGCUGUAUAAGGUUGUUUUAGUAAAUAUAUCAUCAGGAGAUGUAUGUUUGUUAUCCCUAAAUUCAAUCUCAAAGUGCAAGAACAAAUAGAAAAAUUGUAACUACUGUAAAUGUAACUUUUAAUAUAUUCACUUAUUACUUC